GGCACGAUGGCCGAGUGGUUAAGGCGUGAGACUUGAAUUUCAAUAUCUCAUCCCCUUUGGGGACGUAGGUUCGAACCCUGCUCGUGUCG
rnacentral:tRNA from 1 species